GAUGAAAUUUAUGAUACAUUUACAGGAUAUUUUUUAUUUUUACAAAUCAAAUUACGUAUGUAUCUAUAAAUAUUAAAUAUAAUGAAAAAAAAAAAUUAUAAACUUAAUACAGUUUUAAAUCACACGAGUAAAACACACACAAUUUAAGAUAAAUACUUUAGAUGAAACUAUAUAAUUAGAGCUUAGAUUAAUUGUUAGAUAAUUGAUAAAUCUCAUAGUACUUACUAAAUAACCUAUAGGGAAUACAAUUUUUUAAGUUAAAAUAGAUAAUAUAGAGGGAGUUUAAGUAACAAAACAUGACAAAGGAGUGAUUAUAAUAUAAUAUAUGUAGACACUUCCGACUCCGUUACCUUAAUUCUAGUUACUAACUACUACAGAUGAGAUAUAUUGUUACAAUAUAACUAUAUUAAUACUUUAUUUAAAUUCUUAUUAAUUAUUGUGUAUUAAAUAUUUUAUAACAUUUUUAGAAAUGCAUGAACAAUCUAAAUAUAAUUGCUAAAACCAUUUGCAAGAAAAAAAACACGUUUACAUCGAAAUAUGCAUUUACUCAGUGUUGGCAACUAUAAGAAAUUACAGUACCCACUGUAGUGUACAAUUGGUUGAUAGUUGAGAUGAAGAUGUAGAAUAAAAAGAAGAACCUUGAUAAUAAAUUUAAAUGGUGGGCAUAUUUAGAUAGGUACCACAGUUUACUAAGGUAGCCUCAAAAUUACAAAAUGCAAUGUAUAAAAUAGUAUGAAUAAAUACUUAAAAUAAAAUUUAUAAGGUAACAAGUAUAUUUACUUAUAUAAUAAAUAAGUAGUUGAUUAUUGCAUUAACGUAUUGAUGUUAAAACUAAUUUCAAAUACUUGUUAUCUAUAGUAUGAACAACAAAAUUAAUAAUUUAAUAGUAUCAAACACAUAAGAUUAAUUAUAUCUACUAACUACUAUGUGUGUCCACUAGUAUAAAAACGAUACCAAAUAGUAUACAAAUAAAUGAAAAAAAAAACUGAUUCCUGAACACAUUCUAAUUCACAGGUACAUUCGUUAUAUUUACAAGAUAUUAAUUUAAGAAUGUGCCCACUUACACCAUAAGAAAGUAAAGGUCAAAUUUGAAUUUAAUAUCUAAUAAAAACAUUGCAAUAACUUUGGUUGUUAGAAUAUUACAUUAGAGCUGUUUAAUACAAAAUGUUAUAUUCCAUAAUAAUCGUUAAGAAUUAUAUUUGAAUAUGAUCGAUUCUCCACCAAAAACUAACACGAAACGUCGAUAACUCAAAUACGCCUAUGAACUAAUGACACCUAUUACAAUAAUGAACAAAAUGUAUUUAUCGUAUAGAAAAUAUAUUCAUUAGUAUUAAAAAUUGACGAUUUUAACAAAUUUUUGAGUGUUAAAAAUGCAACGAAAAAAGAAAUGAAAUGAAACUAAAUUAUUAUAUAUAUUAUUAUUAAAUAAAACACUUAUUUAAAAUGAAUCAUUAUUAAAGUACGUACGCUCGCUUAACACACAUUAUAUUAAUAUUGUGAUGACAGCGAUAAAAGUAAAUACAAAAACAAACGCGAAAUUAGCAUAUCAAUUUUAUAUUAAU